rnacentral:rRNA from 1 species
GAUGAACGCUGGCGGCGUGCCUAAUACAUGCAAGUCGAGCGAACAGACGAGGCGCUUGCUCCUCUGACGUUAGCGGCGGACGGGUGAGUAACACGUGGAUAACCUACCUAUAAGACUGGGAUAACUUCGGGAAACCGGAGCUAAUACCGGAUAAUAUAUUGAACCGCAUGGUUCAAUAGUGAAAGACGGUUUUGCUGUCACUUAUAGAUGGAUCCGCGCCGCAUUAGCUAGUUGGUAAGGUAACGGCUUACCAAGGCAACGAUGCGUAGCCGACCUGAGAGGGUGAUCGGCCACACUGGAACUGAGACGCGGUCCAGACUCCUACGGGAGGCAGCAGUAGGGAAUCUGCCGCAAUGGGCGAAAGCUUGACGGAGCAACGCCGCGUGAGUGAUGAAGGUCUUCGGAUCGUAAAACUCUGUUAUUAGGGAAGAACAAAUGUGUAAGUAACUAUGCACGUCUUGACGGUACCUAAUCAGAAAGCCACGGCUAACUACGUG